rnacentral:rRNA from 1 species
GAUGAACGCUGGCGGCGUGCUUAACACAUGCAAGUCGAACGGAAAGGCCGAAGCUUGCUUCGGUACUCGAGUGGCGAACGGGUGAGUAACACGUGGGUGAUCUGCCCUGUACUUCGGGAUAAGCUUGGGAAACUGGGUCUAAUACCGGAUAUGACGAUCUCUUGGAUGGGGUUGUGGAAAGCUUUUGCGGUAUGGGAUGAGCUCGCGGCCUAUCAGCUUGUUGGUGGGGUAAUGGCCUACCAAGGCGUCGACGGGUAGCCGGCCUGAGAGGGUGUACGGCUACAUUGGGACUGAGAUACGGCCCAGACUCCUACGGGAGGCAGUAGUGGGGAAUAUUGCACAAUGGGCGCAAGCCUGAUGCAGCGACGCCGCGUGGGGGAUGACGGCCUUCGGGUUGUAAACUCCUUUCGCAAUCGACGAAGCCUUUUGGUGACGGUAGGUUGAGAAGAAGCACCGGCUAACUACGUG